GAACGCUGGCGGCGUGCCUAAUACAUGCAAGUCGAACUUUUUCUGAUUAUUGAAAGGUGCUUGCAUCUUGAUUUAAUUUUGAACGAGUGGCGGACGGGUGAGUAACACGUGGGUAACCUGCCCUUAAGUGGGGGAUAACAUUUGGAAACAGAUGCUAAUACCGCAUAAAUCCAAGAACCGCAUGGUUCUUGGCUGAAAGAUGGCGUAAGCUAUCGCUUUUGGAUGGACCCGCGGCGUAUUAGCUAGUUGGUGAGGUAACGGCUCACCAAGGCAAUGAUACGUAGCCGAACUGAGAGGUUGAUCGGCCACAUUGGGACUGAGACACGGCCCAAACUCCUACGGGAGGCAGCAGUAGGGAAUCUUCCACAAUGGACGCAAGUCUGAUGGAGCAACGCCGCGUGAGUGAAGAAGGCUUUCGGGUCGUAAAACUCUGUUGUUGGAGAAGAAUGGUCGGCAGAGUAACUGUUGUCGGCGUGACGGUAUCCAACCAGAAAGCCACGGCUAACUACGUGCCAGCAGCCGCGGUAAUACGUAGGUGGCAAGCGUUAUCCGGAUUUAUUGGGCGUAAAGCGAGCGCAGGCGGUUUUUUAAGUCUGAUGUGAAAGCCCUCGGCUUAACCGAGGAAGUGCAUCGGAAACUGGGAAACUUGAGUGCAGAAGAGGACAGUGGAACUCCAUGUGUAGCGGUGAAAUGCGUAGAUAUAUGGAAGAACACCAGUGGCGAAGGCGGCUGUCUGGUCUGUAACUGACGCUGAGGCUCGAAAGCAUGGGUAGCGAACAGGAUUAGAUACCCUGGUAGUCCAUGCCGUAAACGAUGAAUGCUAGGUGUUGGAGGGUUUCCGCCCUUCAGUGCCGCAGCUAACGCAUUAAGCAUUCCGCCUGGGGAGUACGACCGCAAGGUUGAAACUCAAAGGAAUUGACGGGGGCCCGCACAAGCGGUGGAGCAUGUGGUUUAAUUCGAAGCAACGCGAAGAACCUUACCAGGUCUUGACAUCUUUUGAUCACCUGAGAGAUCAGGUUUCCCCUUCGGGGGCAAAAUGACAGGUGGUGCAUGGUUGUCGUCAGCUCGUGUCGUGAGAUGUUGGGUUAAGUCCCGCAACGAGCGCAACCCUUAUGACUAGUUGCCAGCAUUUAGUUGGGCACUCUAGUAAGACUGCCGGUGACAAACCGGAGGAAGGUGGGGAUGACGUCAAAUCAUCAUGCCCCUUAUGACCUGGGCUACACACGUGCUACAAUGGAUGGUACAACGAGUUGCGAGACCGCGAGGUCAAGCUAAUCUCUUAAAGCCAUUCUCAGUUCGGACUGUAGGCUGCAACUCGCCUACACGAAGUCGGAAUCGCUAGUAAUCGCGGAUCAGCACGCCGCGGUGAAUACGUUCCCGGGCCUUGUACACACCGCCCGUCACACCAUGAGAGUUUGUAACACCCGAAGCCGGUGGAGUAACCCUUUUAGGGAGCGAGCCGUCUAAGGUGG
rnacentral:rRNA from 1 species